rnacentral:rRNA from 1 species
UGGGGGAUAUUGCACAAUGGGCGAAAGCCUGAUGCAGCGACGCCGCGUGGGGGAUGAAGGCCUUCGGGUUGUAAACUUCUUUUGCUCUGAACAAGGCGCACCAUGGGGUGUGUUGAGUGUAGGGGUUGAUUAGCGCCGGCUAACUACGUGCCAGCAGCCGCGGUAAUACGUAGGGCGCGAGCGUUGUCCGGAAUUAUUGGGCGUAAAGGGCUUGUAGGUGGCUGGUUGCGUCUGUCGUGAAAGCUCAUGGCUUAACUGUGGGUUUGCGGUGGGUACGGGCUGGCUUGAGUGCAGUAGGGGAGGCUGGAAUUCCUGGUGUAGCGGUGGAAUGCGCAGAUAUCAGGAGGAAUACCGGUGGCGAAGGCGGGUCUCUGGGCUGUUACUAACACUGAGGAGCGAAAGCAUGGGGAGCGAACAGG